CUGAAUGGACUUAUCCUGAUCAGUGAUCACAGUAUAAAUCCAGGCAUAUGCACUUCAAAAAUAAGCAACCUAUACUUCCACAUUAUAUCUUACAAGCAGAAAACUAACAAUGGAUACUGCAAAGUUAAUCACAACCAAAAAGAUGUUUCUCUUUUUUGUGGGUUGCACGCUUCUCAUUGCUCUUCAUGAAUGUACUGAAAACAUUCCAAGGAGCAGCAGUCCUAAGGAAGAAGAGAAGAUGAUGAAGCCUACAGCAUCUGCUAAUUUGGAUUGCAAUGAAAUGAAGUGCGCGGAUCAACUACCUUGUUGGUGUUGCUACGAGCGAUCAAAGGGAACAUUCUGUUUACCAACAGAAGAUAGUUGCAAAACCGUUUGCAAUAAUCUCCCACCAGCCACCCAUAAUUAAAAGCAUAAGCUCAACAUGAUAAGCCUUUCCAGUUUCAAUUAUCAUGCAAAAAUAAAUGCAAAAUUGCAUCUUAGGAUUUCUUGUGUUUUCUUCAUGCGAGUGAAGUUGCUACAUCUCUGUGUGAUUAAUGUAAUACUAAUAAUAAAACUUCGCUAAUAAACGAUAUUUCGGAUACG